rnacentral:rRNA from 1 species
UACGGAGGAUGCGAGCGUUAUCCGGAUUUAUUGGGUUUAAAGGGUGCGUAGGCGGACGCUUAAGUCAGCGGUAAAAUUGCGGGGCUCAACCUCGUCGAGCCGUUGAAACUGGGUGCCUUGAGUGGGCGAGAAGUACGCGGAAUGCGUGGUGUAGCGGUGAAAUGCAUAGAUAACACGCAGAACUCCGAUUGCGAAGGCAGCGUACCGGCGCCCAACUGACGCUGAAGCACGAAGGCGUGGGUAUCGAACAGG